GACAGAGGCCCCGAGCGUUAGGCGGAAUCACUGGGCUUAAAGCGUGUGUAGGCGGCUCGUUAAGUGUCUUGUGAAAUCCCACGGCUCACCCGUGGAACCGCUGGGCAUACUGGCGAUCUCGGGCCAUUCAGGGGCGACUGGAACAAGCGGUGGAGCGGUGAAAUGCGUAGAUAUCGCUUGGAACGCCGAAGGUGAAAACAGGUCGCUGGGGAUGUGCCGACGCUGAGACACGAAAGCCAGGGGAGCAAACGGG
rnacentral:rRNA from 1 species